AUUGAACGCUGGCGGCAUGCUUUACACAUGCAAGUCGAACGGCAGCGCGGGGCGACCUGGCGGCGAGUGGCGAACGGGUGAGUAAUACAUCGGAACGUACCCAGAAGUGGGGGAUAACGUAGCGAAAGUUACGCUAAUACCGCAUACGUUCUACGGAAGAAAGUGGGGGACCUUCGGGCCUCCUGCUUUUGGAGCGGCCGAUGUCUGAUUAGCUAGUUGGUGAGGUAAAGGCUCACCAAGGCGACGAUCAGUAGCUGGUCUGAGAGGACGACCAGCCACACUGGGACUGAGACACGGCCCAGACUCCUACGGGAGUGAGCAGUGGGGAAUUUUGGACAAUGGGCGCAAGCCUGAUCCAGCAAUGCAGCGUGAGUGAAGAAGGCCUUCGGGUUGUAAAGCUCUUUUGUCAGGGAAGAAACGGCUGAGGAUAAUACCUUCGGCUAAUGACGGUACCUGAAGAAUAAGCACCGGCUAACUACGUGCCAGCCGCCGCGGUAA
rnacentral:rRNA from 1 species